rnacentral:lncRNA from 1 species
UCUUCGAUGUUAACAUCAUGUAAGGUGGUCUCCUCGCACUCGUCCAAUUCCAUAUCAGUCAUUUGUGUUUUCGGUUUUGGUGGCAAUACUGCUUCAAGGUUCUUGCAUUGCUCGGGGGAUAAUGUGUCGGGGAAUUCUACAGUAAAGUGAAUGUAUAGUUUUCCUCUCAUAAAUGGUCUUUGGUACAUAGGCAUUCCUUCAUCAUUUAUGGCUUUAAAUUGAUCUGUCGUGGCCAAAAACAAAGUUCACGAUUGAUAUCUAUGAGCAGAGAUUCACAUAUAAAGCAUAAUUGAUACCAUAGAGAUAAAAAAGGACACCAAAUUUCAACGAACAGCAGGAGAGACAUAGUGUGUGCAUGAAGAAAACAAUUAGACUUACACUCGCUGUAUUAGGGAGACAACGAUAUAUCAAGAAGUCCUAGGCAUAUAUCAGAAUGUAAAAGCAAUUAAAGUAUACUUUGGGCUUACCAGGCUUGACAACUUCUCCGGGUUGGGGUUUGAUGAUCAGCUGCCUAUUAUCUAGGUGAGUCAAGAUGAACUGGAAACCACAUAGGGCCUCGGUUAAGCUCAAGGUGUGCUCUACAAAGAGAUCAUCUCCCUUUCGCUUAAACUUGGGAUGUUCCUUCUGUUGCAAGACAAAAACUAUGUCCCCAGUGACGGUAUCAG